CAUAUAACUGUAUGCACUGUAUUGUAUUACCUGCAUUCUCUAUGCUUUGUAUCCAACUAAUGUAGGUAGUUGCUAUUUAACUGACAAGCUGAAUCAGGUGUGAUAAAAGAGUUCUACAGGGCUAUUGUCCAGGAGAACUGGACUCUAGAAAAUAUAGAACAUCUAGUCUAGAUCAACAUUUAAAGACUUUGUCUGGUACAUAAGUGGAAAUAUACUUUUGUUUACUAAAGACUUCAUAGAAUGCACAGAUUUAAUGUAUUUAACAGCUUUUAUUAUUAUUAUUAUUGUUGUUGUGAUACAGUACAUCCCUUACACGCCUUAUUCUUCCUCUACUUGCCUAGAGGUGAGGAGAAGCUCUACCACAGCUCUGGCUGCUCUUCUGGUGAAUUAUUAGCCAAUCGCAGCGCAGGGGGGCGGGUGGUGCCUGCUGCCUUCUCGUGGCCACCGUGCGACAUGACAGGACAGUUCAAAUAGCAUAGCUUUCAUUUGUUAUCACUGCUGCAACAAAUGAGGUAAAAUGAACGCAAUAAACCCAAAUAUGCGCUUUAAAAUGAGAUUUAGAAGUGUCUUACUUGAAUGAACUUGAUGUUGCCAACCAAAAUGGUGGCGUCAAAGAAAUAACAUCAAUGACAGAAACAUAUGGCAUCCCUCCUGAUCGAUCCUCUACUGAUUUAUUACUGUUUGAAGAUGUGAUUAUCAGUGACGUUGGAGCCCCCCGCCACGCCCCGCCCCUGGUGACGUAACAAUGAUGAACGCUCGUGAGGCUGCAGUGGGCAGCUGUCACGUAACAAUGAGAGAAGUGAACCGGCUUUUUUCUAAGACGAUAGUUUUGUUGGAGCGCGUGAUGACGUCAUCAAACCGAGGAUAUAAAUAGGGGUGCCACGUCCGGCGAUCUGUAACGGCAGAUACCACCGUAGUAACGAUCGCAAUGCCUCGCAGACGCAUGCGCAGAGCCAUUCGCCCCGUGCCCAAGAGGAGGAGGGCUGGAGCCGUGCGCAGGCGGAGAAGGGCUGUGGUACGCAGGCGUCGUUAGGCGUCUGUACACCGCCGCCAUCUCCGCCCCCAAUACCAUCCCGCCGGCACCCCCAACCUCUUAAAAGCACUCUGCGAAGGCAACGGCACGAAGCUAAUGUGUUAAUCAACACCAGAAGACGGACUCUACCGAGAUCAGAUCUGAUCUGACUUCCACUGCUGGCUGUGUUGGUAAUAUGGGUAAGGUGUAAUUGAUAAUGAAGUCAGAACAACAGACAUGAAGAUGAGGACAAUACACGAUAACGAUGGACUCAGGACCACGUCCAUGAAGAUGGUGGACUCAGUACAAUACGAAUGAUUGAUAAUGGAUUGAGGACAACAGACAGGAAGAUGAGGACAACACACAUGAUAAUGAUGGACCUAGGACCACGUUCAUGAAGAUGGUGGACUCAGUACAAUACGAAUGAUGGAUAAUGGAUUGAGGACAACAGACAUGAAGAAGGAGAUGGACCCGGGACAACACACAUGAAGAUGGUGGACUCAGUACAAUACGAAUGAUGGAUAAUGGAUUGAGGACAACAGACAUGAAGAAGGAGAUGGACCCGGGACAACACACAUGGAGAUGAAGCAUCGAUCGGCGCCUAUUACCCCCCCCCCCCAUUCUUAUGCAUGAAUAAAAGCAAAAGCUACUGUACAACCAUGUUGUAUUAGUUAACACUGCACACUGAACUAAAUAUGAAGAUGGACUCUGCCAAAAUCUGUUCUGACUUCCACUGCUGAGUCACUCAUUCUGUUAUGACUUCCAUUGCUGAGUGACUGAUUCAGGACCGCACACACAAUGAUGCAGAACUCAGGACAACACACAUGAUGGUGGACUCUACCAAGAUCUGGUCUGACUUCUGCUGCUCCCUGAGUUGGUAAUAGGGGUAAGGUCUCCAAAGCUUCCUGUGUCAGAAACAUGAUGUUCAAAAUGACCAGUGAAGUCUACAUGAAUUCUUUGCCGUGGCUCGUUUAAAAAUUCCCAUGGGUGUAGCGGUGCUAUUGUGGCAUGUUUCUGUGUUUCUGACAAGAUGAACAAGCCUUGGCUUUCUCCUCGAUAGCUGCAUCUAACCCUGGCCACCAGAAGUAACUAUGGGCAAUCUCCUUCAUUCUUACAACGCCGCUCUUCUGAAAUCUAGUCUAGAUCAACAUUUAAAGACUUUGUCUGGUACAUAAGUGGAAAUAUACUUUUGUUUACUAAAGACUUCAUAGAAUGCACAGAUUUAAUGUAUUUAACAGCUUUUAUUAUUAUUAUUGUUGUUGUUGUGAUACAGUACAUCCCUUACACGCCUUAUUCUUCCUCUACUUGCCUAGAGGUGAGGAGAAGCUCUACCACAGCUCUGGCUGCUCUUCUGGUGAAUUAUUAGCCAAUCGCAGCGCAGGGGGGCGGGUUUUUUCAUAAUAUGGUGCCUGCUGCCAUCUCGUGGCCACCGUGCGACAUGACAGGACAGUUCAAAUAGCAUAGCUUUCAUUUGUUAUCACUGCUGCAACAAAUGAGGUAAAAUGAACGCAAUAAACCCAAAUAUGCGCUUUAAAAUGAGAUUUAGAAGUGUCUUACUUGAAUGAACUUGA